rnacentral:lncRNA from 1 species
GUCCUCAGGCAGGAGAGAGAGCUCAACGUGAUUUUCUUUUUUAUUGACAUCAAGGACCUUGGCAGUGAGCAGCUUUCCCUCUGGCAGGUAUUUCUCAUAUAAGGAGUGUUUCUGUACAAAGUAAGGGGAAACGUUCUGGAAAAGGAUUCGGCCCAGAAGAGAAGCAGACAAGCCAAAGAAUACACCUGAUGGAGUAACUGAUUUGACAUAGCCUCUUACUAGCUGGCCUUUUUUAACAUCCUUAAUACAUGUUAUUUCAACAUCCUCCACUUUCCUGCUGUUCCUUGGGUUUAAUCUGGACUGCCGAAGAGAUAAUUGGAUUUUGCCGUUCUCGUUGGAGAGGAUGUAACAUCUGACAACCUUGCCAAUUUUGAAGUCACUCAGAGGACUCUCUGUGUACUUAUCGCUUAGGUGAAAGAUACUGACUUUGCC